UAUACCAGCGGAUGUGUUUGUACCUCAAGGACAGCAUUCUUUAUUUUCAAUAAGCACCGGAGUUCCAGUGAAUAACAAUAAAUAUCAAAUAGAAGAAAACAGCUUUUCAGAGAGAUGCCAAUGUGAGAGAGUCUGAAAGGUUAUGGAUUCACACCUAUGUGACUAGACUUGUUUAAUGAUUGUCAGAAUCCGAUGAAGCAAAAGAGAGGUUUAAAAAUAAAACAGCACAAGAUUACA